rnacentral:misc_RNA from 1 species
GGUUAGAAGGCAAAGACUGCUAUGUGAGUUUACAACAACUACUACAACUAAAUCUUAAUCAUUAACUAGUUGGUUGGCUAUAUGGAUACAUAUUUUUUUACUAUUACUCUUUUAUAAUAUUCAAGUGGUUCAAGUUAAGUGCAACCUGGCAUUGCAGAUCUUAGGGAGGUAUGCACCAGAUGGAUUUGAGACCAUUCUGGUGAUAAAAAAUUAUUGCAAGCAUUUUCUUGAUUGAACUUGCUUUCCUCCUCCUUCCUCCCAUAUUAUCACUUAAAUUAAAAUAUUAAUCUAUCUGCAGUUUUUGCAUGCCAUUCUUUCUUCUACCUUUUUUCUUCCGAGGACUAAGCUGUGAUAUGAUUUUCUUUUGCAG